UUAUCGUUCUCGGCCUUUUGGCUAAGAUCAAGUGUAGUAUUGUUCUUAUCAGUUUAAUAUCUGAUAACGUCCCUAUCUGGGGACCAUAUAUUAAAUGGAUUUUUGGAACAGGGAGAUGGAAGAAGAAGCUUGCUCUGUCCACUCCAGCAUCGACCUGGUAUUGCAGUACCUCCAGGACGCGUGCACCUCUC
rnacentral:snRNA from 1 species